rnacentral:rRNA from 1 species
AGUGAACGCUGGCGGCAGGCCUAAUACAUGCAAGUCGAACGGCAGCACAGCAGAGCUUGCUCUGUGGGUGGCGAGUGGCGGACGGGUGAGGAAUACAUGGGAAUCUGCCCAGUCGUGGGGGAUAACGUAGCGAAAGUUACGCUAAUACCGCAUACGUCCUGAGGGAGAAAGCGGGGGACCGUAAGGCCUCGCGCUAUUGGAGCGGCCGAUAUCAGAUUAGCUAGUUGGUGGGGUAAAGGCCUACCAAGGCAACGAUCUGUAGUUGGUCUGAGAGGACGACCAGCCACACUGGGACUGAGACACGGCCCAGACUCCUACGGGAGGCAGCAGUGGGGAAUUUUGGACAAUGGGCGCAAGCCUGAUCCAGCAAUGCCGCGUGCAGGAAGAAGGC